AUUGAACGCUGGCGGCAGGCUUAACACAUGCAAGUCGAACGAGUGGCGGACGGGUGAGUAAUGUCUGGGAAACUGCCUGAUGGAGGGGGAUAACUACUGGAAACGGUAGCUAAUACCGCAUACCAUGGGAGGAGCCCAGAUGGGAUUAGCUAGUAGGUGGGGUAACGGCGCACCAAGGCGACGAUCCCUAGCUGGUCUGAGAGGAUGACCAGCCACCCUGGAACUGAGACACGGUCCAGACUCCUACGGGAGGCAGCAGUGGGGAAUAUUGCGCAAUGGGCGCAAGCCUGAUGCAGCCAUGCCGCGUGUAUGAAGAAGGCCUUCGGGUUGUAAAGUUCUUUCAGCGAGUAGGCGUUACUCGCAGAAGAAGCACCGGCUAACUCCGUGCCAGCAGCCGCGGUAAUAC
rnacentral:rRNA from 1 species